CACGUAGGGCGCGAGCGUUGUCCGGAAUUACUGGGCGUAAAGGGCUCGUAGGCGGCCAACUAAGUCAGACGUGAAAUCCCUCGGCUUAACCGGGGAACUGCGUCUGAUACUGGAUGGCUUGAGUUUGGGAGAGGGAUGCGGAAUUCCAGGUGUAGCGGUGAAAUGCGUAGAUAUCUGGAGGAACACCGGUGGCGAAGGCGACAUCCUGGACCAACACUGACGCUGAGGAGCGAAAGCCAGGGGAGCAAACGGG
rnacentral:rRNA from 1 species